rnacentral:rRNA from 1 species
UUCUUCGGAUGAAGAAGACUGUGACUGAGUGGCGGACGGGUGAGUAACGCGUGGGCAACCUGCCCUGUACUGGGGGAUAACAGUUAGAAAUGACUGCUAAUACCGCAUAAGCGCACGAGGACGCAUGUUCUUGUGUGAAAAACUCCGGUGGUACAGGAUGGGCCCGCGUCUGAUUAGGUAGUUGGUGGGGCAGCGGCCUACCAAGCCGACGAUCAGUAGCCGACCUGAGAGGGUGACCGGCCACAUUGGGACUGAGACACGGCCCAAACUCCUACGGGAGGCAGCAGUGGGGAAUAUUGCACAAUGGGGGAAACCCUGAUGCAGCGACGCCGCGUGAAGGAAGAAGUAUUUCGGUAUGUAAACUUCUAUCAGCAGGGAAGAAACUGACGGUACCUGACUAAGAAGCACCGGCUAAAUACGUGCCAGCAGCCGCGGUAAUACGUAUGGUGCAAGCGUUAUCCGGAUUUACUGGGUGUAAAGGGAGCGUAGACGGAGAGGCAAGUCUGAAGUGAAAGCCCGGGGCUCAACCCCGGGACUGCUUUGGAAACU